AAAUAUUUGCUAAUACCCUAUAUGCUUCACAGUGAAAGAAUUUAUUCGCCUAAAGAGGAGCUUGCGUCUGAUUAGCUAGUUGGUAGGGUAAAGGCCUACCAAGGCGACGAUCAGUAGUUGGUCUGAGAGGACGGCCAGCCACAUUGGAACUGAGACACGGUCCAGACUCUUACGGGAGGCAGCAGUGAGGAAUUUUCUGCAAUGGGCGAAAGCCUGACAGAGCAAUACCGCGUGAGGGAUGACUGCCUACGGGUUGUAAACCUCUUUUCUCAAGGAGGAAGAUCUGACGUUACUUGAGGAAUAAGCAUCGGCUAACCCUGUGCCAGCAGCCGCGGUAAUACAGGGGAUGCAAGUGUUAUCCGGAAUUAUUGGGCGUAAAGCGUCUGCAGGUUGAUCUAUAAGUCUUUUGUCAAAUCUUUGGGCUUAACCCAAAAACAGCAAAAGAAACUAUUUAUCUUGAGUA
rnacentral:rRNA from 1 species